CGAUAAGCGUCGGUAAGGUGAUAUGAACCGUUAUAACCGGCGAUUUCCGAAUGGGGAAACCCAGUGUGAUUCGUCACACUAUCAUUAACUGAAUCCAUAGGUUAAUGAGGCGAACCGGGGGAACUGAAACAUCUAAGUACCCCGAGGAAAAGAAAUCAACCGAGAUUCCCCCAGUAGCGGCGAGCGAACGGGGAGCAGCCCAGAGCUUGAAUCAGUGUGUGUGUUAGUGGAAGCGUCUGGAAAGGCGUGCGAUACAGGGUGACAGCCCCGUACACAAAAAUGCACAUGCUGUGAGCUCGAUGAGUAGGGCGGGACACGUGGUAUCCUGUCUGAAUAUGGGGGGACCAUCCUCCAAGGCUAAAUACUCCUGACUGACCGAUAGUGAACCAGUACCGUGAGGGAAAGGCGAAAAGAACCCCGGCGAGGGGAGUGAAAAAGAACCUGAAACCGUGUACGUACAAGCAGUGGGAGCACAGAGCAAUCUGUGUGACUGCGUACCUUUUGUAUAAUGGGUCAGCGACUUAUAUUCUGUAGCAAGGUUAACCGAAUAGGGGAGCCGAAGGGAAACCGAGUCUUAACUGGGCGUUAAGUUGCAGGGUAUAGACCCGAAACCCGGUGAUCUAGCCAUGGGCAGGUUGAAGGUUGGGUAACACUAACUGGAGGACCGAACCGACUAAUGUUGAAAAAUUAGCGGAUGACUUGUGGCUGGGGGUGAAAGGCCAAUCAAACCGGGAGAUAGCUGGUUCUCCCCGAAAGCUAUUUAGGUAGCGCCUCGUGAAUUCAUCUCCGGGGGUAGAGCACUGUUUCGGCAAGGGGGUCAUCCCGACUUACCAACCCGAUGCAAACUGCGAAUACCGGAGAAUGUUAUCACGGGAGACACACGGCGGGUGCUAACGUCCGUCGUGAAGAGGGAAACAACCCAGACCGCCAGCUAAGGUCCCAAAGUCAUGGUUAAGUGGGAAACGAUGUGGGAAGGCCCAGACAGCCAGGAUGUUGGCUUAGAAGCAGCCAUCAUUUAAAGAAAGCGUAAUAGCUCACUGGUCGAGUCGGCCUGCGCGGAAGAUGUAACGGGGCUAAACCAUGCAC
rnacentral:rRNA from 1 species